GGACGCUUCACAUUGACAAAGAAACCGGAACGCGGCAGCCAUGCUGGGGACUGCUCUGUACUUGGCGCAAAAGCCCUGUGGGAGACAGAUUUUAUGCUUCAGGAACAAGUAAAUUCUGCCCUCCUGUGUGUACAGAAACAGUGUCUCCAGGGAUGUGGCAUUCCCGGGAAGAAAAGAAGGCACAUUGGCCGAGGCGCAGACAGACAUCUGAAUCUUAUUCCCCAGUUCUUACAAGCCGCUUAGAGGUCAUGUUUCCCCCCACUCCGUUUUCUACUAAAGAGAUGACGUCGCGCCCUACUUGCUUACCAGGAGAGGGCAGAAUUUGUUUCAUUAAAGACUCAGUCAUCGCCACCACUGUCAAAGGCAAAUCCCUCCCAAGGCCGGCAUCUGAAUCCGACCACUGGAGCAAGGAUUCUGAGGUUUCGAUGUCAAAGCCUACAGCUCCAGAGAAAACCCAGGCGCUCGGAUCCCCCGGGUAGGGGGAGGGCGGGCCACGCUGCAGCAUCCCACCCACUCAGGAAUCCCUUCUUUCCACUUGUCUGAGCAGACUGGGAAGGAGGGCCUCCGGCAACCAGCUGGAAGAGAGUUGGCUGGGGCUCCACUGUCACUGAUUUAUGAAGGCCUUUCGGGGCCAGAAUGACACCAUCCACCCUCCAUCUACCUCCUGCUAAUUUAUAUUCUCAGAGCUUUAAAUCACAGCGACAGCCCCGCAGGCCCUUUGACCAGUCAAGGGCUUCCGGGGCCCCGCACGCUGCUCUCCUGUCCCCACAGUGGGUCCUACAGUUCCCCAUCCUCCCCAACCUGCUCCAAACCGUACUCCCUCCCAGCUCCUGGGGCUCUCAGGCCCUCUGCUCAAUCAGAUAAACAGCAGAGCAGUGACUUUCUUUUCGCUGACUUGGAAGCUCCCUUGUCUGAAAAACAUUGCCAACGUUAGAAAAAAAACAAAAACAAAAAACCUUAUUGAUGUUAUGACUCACCCUCACCCGGUAUUAUUGCUAAUCUGCUAAGCAAACACCUGCUCCCACCAACAAAAUAAAUGCGAAAUUACUAAGAUA